rnacentral:rRNA from 1 species
UUAUCCUCAUAAGUUAGACGAUAAGAGGAACCACUUAAAAAAAUAUGGUGGUGUCACAAAAUCGGAGGCCCCGACUGUUUACUAAAAACACAAUUCAGAGCAAUGAUGCAAAUCAUAGUAUUCUGGAUGAAAUUUGCCCGAUGCCAUUAACAUAAAAGAGGUAAUGGGUAACUGUUACUAAUUGAAAGUCUGGUUAAUAGCGGUCUUAACUAUGAGGAUCCUAAGGUAGCAAAAUCAGUUGGCCAUUAAAUGUGGUCUGGUAUCAAUAGUGUAACGAUGGUCUCACUGUCUCUACAACUUGCUCAGUGAAAUUGAAUUAUCCGUGCAGAUGCGGAUUGCCUCCAGGUGGACGGGAAGACCCUAUGCAG